rnacentral:rRNA from 1 species
GGCGGCAGGCUUAAUACAUGCAAGUCGAACGGUAACAUGUCGGAGCAAUCUGAUGAUGACGAGUGGCGCACGGGUGCGUAACGCGUAUGCAACCUACCCAUAACCGGAACAUAACGUUGAGAAAUCGGCGCUAAUAUUCCAUGUGUAUAUUUUGUGGCAUCAUAGAAUAUAUAAAGAUUAAUUGGUUAUGGAUGGGCAUGCGUAUCAUUAGCUAGUUGGUGGGGUAACGGCCUACCAAGGCUGCGAUGAUUAGGGGUUCUGAGAGGAUAACCCCCCACACUGGAACUGAGACACGGUCCAGACUCCUACGGGAGGCAGCAGUAGGGAAUAUUGGGCAAUGGAGGCAACUCUGACCCAGCCAUGCCGCGUGAAGGAAGACGGUCCUAUGGAUUGUAAACUUCUUUUAUCAUAGAGUAACCGCAGGGACGUGUCCCUGCCUGCAAGUAUAUGAUGAAUAAGCAUCGGCUAACUCCGUG